ACCCACCACUCCUGCCACAUGGAGGCCAAGUCUUUGGCAGCAGACACCAAAGAGACCGAGUCAGCACUUACCUGGUGGUAAAAAAAGGCCCAUUAAGGGUGACGAAAUGACAGCAGCCGACAGCGGGGCCCAUCCACGACUCGCAUGGAGGACCCCCGGAACCUUGGCCCGGCCACCUGUCCCCAGCGCUACCCCAUAAACACCAGGCCCGGAGCUCUCGUGGCGGGGGGGGGGGGGGGGGGGGGGGGGAGUCAUCUGGUCGACCGGGGGAAGGGGAGCAGGGGGAGGGGGCGCGCGAUGGCCAAAGUGGGGGCGCGGACACCCACCAAGGGAGAGGGAGCUGGCCGGGGGCGCCCUCUCCCGCUUCGCCCACACGGGUAGGGGUACCGGUCCGUCGGAGUCUCCGAACGGGGAUUUGGCUUCGAUGAGCAUCAAGAAACAAGAAGGAAGAACCGUCAGCGCGGCGCCUCCAACGAGACGAGCGGGCCCCGACCAGGGACCGCGCCCGGGCGGGACCCAGACCGUCCUAGAUGGGGCACCCAGGACGGCCCGAGCCGGUCCCCACCUCCUGACCGGGAUUCAGGGAGGUGGGGAGGGGUGAGACAAAGUCGCAUCCGACGACCGAGACCCACGAAGGCACGCUGAAGGGUCGGGCGCGCCCUCCCCGGCCACCCGCGGAAGCAGGGUCCGGUCCAUCCACGUCUCCGGACCCAUCGGGACUUUGAAAAAGAAACAGCAUGUGUGCCAGGAGACGCCUCGGGCGACCGGACCCCACGGGUUGGGGUGGGGCGGCCGCACACGCGCCCGCCUCUCCCCGUCAACCCUCACGACUCCGGCGGGCGGGUCCCCACCUCCGGAGCGGGGCCGAGGGCGAAGCAAACGCUCCUGAGGGCGGCCCAGGAGGAGUCCGGACCGCCGAGCCCGAGUCCAGGCGCUCCGGGCAGGGAAGACCCUCUCCCUGCCCACCGCGGCGGCCCGGCCCAGGGAGGGUCCGGCCGGUCCUUCUCCGCGGCCACAGGGGCACGGGGAGAUGCUGGUCGACCCGGUCCGGCCACCCCAGAGCCCGGCCCCGGAGCGCCGCGACGAUCACCCUCCUCAGAAACCUAGAGAACCAAUCUCCGGCGACAGCAGGACGUCCCUAGGCCUCGGCGCCACCGGGACUGUCGCCGCCAGCAUAGCCGGUGUCUGAGAGCUCUGCCUCGGGCCCGGCGGCUGAGUCACAACCCUCCUGAAGGGCUCGCCGAAGCUCCGGAGGGGGAGGGACAAUAUACAAGCGGCCGCCAGGUGGCUCCCGACAACCGGCUCGAACGUCCCGAGGACGGGUCGCUGUCGCCGGCCGCCGGGGACGCCACAGCGCCGGCCGCCCAAACGCCCGAGCUCGGCCCGGAGCCUCCGCCGCCGAGCGACGCGACGCGACGCGACCCCGGCCGCAGAGGAAGGGAGAGGAGCCGGGAGAUCUCUCCCCUGGAGGCUGCCACGAAAGAGCCGCGAUCCCCCCCCCGCCCCCCGCCACGCGAUUCCAGGGUGGUGGGGGGACAUUCCACGGAGACGCGGGCGGGCGGGCGGGCGGCGGGGGCUCGGGGCGGGGUGGGCGGAGAGAGGGGGCACCAGUGACAUCCCAGGAACCCCCGGCCCCCGGCCCCCCGAAAGAGGGGGGCGGGAGGGAGGGAGGGAGAAAAGGAGGGAAGGAGGAGGGAGGGAGGGAGGGAGGGAGGGAGGGACCGGCAAAGCGAAACCAGGCAAGCGCUGCUGGGAGAACAAAGCAGGACUUUCGAAAGCAGACACGGACACAGACACACAAGCCUAGGAGUAAGAAAGGAAAAGAAGGAGACACUCGGACCCCCAAGAAGAGAAAACAAAACUCAACCUGGGUAGAGACACCGUGACAAAGUCCAGAGACGACACACACAAGCAUGCGCGGGUGGGUGGGGAAAGUGCACUUGAGGUCAGGAGAACAUGGAUUUCAACACCACUGGCCACAAACAGCGGAAAGGCGGACGGCCUGGGAGGUCUGGGGUGGCAGGGCUGCGGGGGGGGGGGGGGGGGUUGGGGGGUUGCGGGGAGGGUGUGGGGGGGGUGGUAUUGAGGGGCGUGCUGGUGAGGAGGACGGAGUCCAUAGGGAUCCACUAAAUAAACCCCGGGUCCCGUGACA
ensembl:lncRNA